rnacentral:rRNA from 1 species
AUUGAACGCUGGCGGCAUGCCUUACACAUGCAAGUCGAACGGCAGCACGGGUGCUUGCACCUGGUGGCGAGUGGCGAACGGGUGAGUAAUACAUCGGAACGUACCUUAUCGUGGGGGAUAACGCAGCGAAAGCUGUGCUAAUACCGCAUACGCCCUGAGGGGGAAAGCGGGGGAUCGCAAGACCUCGCGCGAUUAGAGCGGCCGAUGCCUGAUUAGCUUGUUGGUGGGGUAAAAGCCCACCAAGGCGACGAUCAGUAGCUGGUCUGAGAGGACGAUCAGCCACCCUGGGACUGAGACCAGGCCCAGACUCCUACGGGAGGCAGCAGUGGGGAAUUUUGGACAAUGGGGGCAACCCUGAUCCAGCAAUGCCGCGUGAGUGAAGAAGGCCUUCGGGUUGUAAAGCUCUUUUGUCAGGGAAGAAACACCGGCUCUAACACAGUCCGGGAAUGACGGUACCUGAAGAAUAAGCACCGGCUAACUACGUGCAGCCGCCGCGGUAA